rnacentral:rRNA from 1 species
UACGUAGGGUGCAAGCGUUGUCCGGAAUUAUUGGGCGUAAAGAGCUCGUAGGCGGUCUGUCGCGUCGGCUGUGAAAACCCGGGGCUCAACCCCGGGCCUGCAGUCGAUACGGGCAAACUAGAGUGCGGUAGGGGAGACUGGAAUUCCUGGUGUAGCGGUGAAAUGCGCAGAUAUCAGGAGGAACACCGGUGGCGAAGGCGGGUCUCUGGGCCGUAACUGACGCUGAGGAGCGAAAGCGUGGGGAGCGAACAGG